ensembl:lncRNA
CAGCAACAGCUGAGUGUACAGGUGAGUCUCAGGAAGUGAGACUCUGGUUUGAGAGUCUCUGGAGGUGGCUCUCUACAGGUGGUGACUCAGAGUGAUAGGACCUUACCCGAAGGACACACUUUUCUCUUCCCGACACUUCUAUGAAAGAACUCGAGGAGCGGGCUGGUCACCGGGACUGACGGUUCACCCCACCGCGACGAGGUGUCACACUGAGAGAGAGCUCUUCGCCUACGGUGGCUGUAGUCCUGCGGUGAGUGCCUCUCGCCUAAGCCCCCCUACAUAGGGAGAGAAAAACAGGAGAUGGGUGGUGCCUUUAUGAUGUGAUGAAGUGCGUCAACGGUCCAAAGGAGCCCGGGAUUGCAGAUCUAUGUCUGUUGAACAACAACAAUCAAAAAAACAAGGACAAGCCCACGUCUCACACCAAACAAUGAACCUGAUUCAAAGAUCAGUGGGAUGUUGCUGGCGGCGGCGGCACCAUCCAAUGAACAAUAACAAAUCUCCUAAGACGAUUCCUGCCUAUGAAACAUACUCCCUCCACCAUCCAUAGUACAUGGAUCCCUUAGUUAGUACCAUAAUGGUCUUCUCGGCGCAGGGUCGACAGUUAAAUAUGCUAUAGUUUACGCCGUGCGUAUAGAACUAUAGUUUAUUCACUUUGAAUCCGUCUCUUAUCGUCGGCACACCGUGGUAGUUUGUGACAACGCUGAGCUGUUUUGUUUGGAACAGCGUGUGCUGCUAGCUGUGGCAGAGGGUGGUGCAUGUGAUGGAUCGCCAAUGAAUUGCUUUUCCAGGGACGCAGUGGGACAUUCAGAGAACUUUGGGAUAUUAGCAGAUAAAGUGCGUGCUGUUUUUGCGGUUGUUAUUCUGGAGUUUUCUGACUUGAUCCCCCCCCGCCUACCCCGGACACAUUCUUAAAGAGGUUUGAGGAAGUUUGAUGGUCCCGGGGAACAUUUAAUAGGGUUCUGUAAUCUGAAGCACAUCCGUUGCUUCCUUGGUGUUGGAUAAAACAUUUCUUCUAUUUUUACUUGAAUUUUUUUUUCUAAUAAAGUACAAAUGAUGAUAUUCACAAGUUCUACCGGUUUUCAAUGUUGCAAACAGCAUUUAUUCUUCAUUAUUUAUGAUGAAUAAUUACUAGUGGUUAGACUAGAACAUUUCAAAGGCAUUACAACUGUCACAGUCUAAUUCAACAGUAGUUUUGUGUUAUUUACACUGAAAUGAGGAUACUUUCUGCAUGAUUUAACAUCAAUGAGGUGGCUUUGGCCCCCUGCUGUGAUAAGGAUCCCCCCCGGAGAAUCUUGUGGAGGGUCUUUCAAAAAUAAACUACUUACAAGCAAGGUUAGUCAGUAUGUUGUUGAUAAUGUAAACGCAGGAAGUGAUCU